rnacentral:rRNA from 1 species
GACAGAGGGUGCAAACGUUGCUCGGAAUCACUGGGCGUAAAGGGCGCGUAGGCGGGAAUGUAAGUCGGGCGUGAAAUCCCUAGGCUCAACCUAGGAACUGCACUCGAAACUGCGUUUCUUGAGUAUCGGAGAGGAAAGCGGAAUUCCUGGUGUAGAGGUGAAAUUCGUAGAUAUUCGCAAGAACACCAGUGGCGAAGGCGGCUCACUGGCCCGAUACUGACGCUGAGGCACGAAAGCGUGGGGAGCAAACAGGG